CGCAUCUGUGCAUGCAGCAUAUCAAUAAGCGGAGGAAAAGAAACUAACAAGGAUUCCCUUAGUAACGGCGAGUGAAGCGGGAAGAGCUCAAAUUUGAAAUCUUCAAGGUUCUACCUUGACGAAUUGUAGUUUAAAGAAGUGUUUUCUGUUAGAUGAGUAGCAAAAGUUCCUUGGAAUGGGACAUCAUAGAGGGUGAGAAUCCCGUAUUUGGUUAUUCAUUCUAGCUUUGUGAUACACUUUCAAAGAGUCGGAUUGUUUGGGAAUGCAGUCCAAAAUGGGUGGUAAAUUUCAUCUAAAGCUAAAUAUUGGCGAGAGACCGAUAGCGAACAAGUACCGUGAGGGAAAGAUGAAAAGAACUUUGAAAAGAGAGUUAAACAGUACGUGAAAUUGUCAAAAGGGAAGCGUUUGACACCAGUGUUGUUUUCUCGAAAAUCAAUUAAAAAGAGUUUGAUUUUGUUGUGUAUUGACCUUAACAGCUUGCAUUUCAAUUUUCUUGCUUUUUUUAAUGCACUUUUCGUUUAACAAGUCAACAUCAGUUUCUUUUGUUGUAAAAAGGUCAUUGGAAGGUGGCUUUCUUUUCGGAGAAAGUGUUUAUAGCCUUUGACUCCUGCAAUCGGAGAGACUGAGGUCUGCAGCGUAGAUCCUUCGGGGUUAGAUACAUUUGUGCUAAGUUAUAGCUUUUUAUAGACAACUUGUUGACUAUGAUUAGUCUUGUAGCUUACUCGCUUAUGCUAUUUUACCUACGCUUAGGAUGUUGAAGACUCUACAGAGAUA
rnacentral:rRNA from 1 species